GAUAUUCUCAUCAGAGGAGUCAGAAUUGAAGGCCAAAGGCAUUAAAGAUAUGGGAUACCAUCUCUUCCUGAGCCCUUGACAUAGCUGCACAUUCUGUCAUCAUCUCCUCACUGCCCAGAUGCCUUUCCUCCUUGCAGAGUGCUGAGAACAGACACGCAGACCAGCAGACAGGAGACAGAGAGGGGCUGCACGGUCAGUGGACUGAAGUCCCUUUCCUGAAUUUGGGCCCUCCUCAUCCAACGUUUCCUCCCCCACCUCCCCUGCAUCCAAGCCGCCAUUACUUUUCAGGCCUCAGGCACCAGACCAGGAUGCUUUCCAAACUAUUUUGGAUCUCUGGGUCUUCCUCCCGUGCAAGCAACCUGCCCCACCCCCAACCCUUUACGCUGAGGUCAA